GUUAAAUCAAGAAGUCAAUCAUACUUCGUUCCAAAACAAGUCUUAGAGUUAAGAUUGUGACAUUGAGUGACAAGUCUUAAGAAGGUUUAUAACAUUCAUCAAAUGUGGAAUUUGAAAAGGUUUUCUUAUUCUUGCACAUUUGAAAUUGGAAAGUUGUGAUGUCUUGGAUAAGACAAAGACCAACUAGGACCAAUAUUAUGAAGUGUUUUGUUUUGAUAAAAGCUACACUAACUCUUGAAUAUUUGUUUGUCAAGAAAUGUUUAUUGACAAAAGAAUCUUAUAUGUCAAGGAGUCAGUGGGAGUCUUAAUGGUCUUGAAAAGUUUCAAG
rnacentral:lncRNA from 1 species